rnacentral:lncRNA from 1 species
AUGCACCACAAUUAUUUGAAGGCCAAGACCAGAUCUCCCCGGAAGAGAACAGUAGCCAUCUCCUGUGACAGUGAAGACAGAAGCUCCUCCUCUGAGGAGAAAGGAGUAUCAGGAAAGCCAGGAAAUGGAGGCAUCUCCAGGAAAAUCAACAGCAUACAAUCACUUAUUCUCCUUUUAUGUCAUUGGCAACAAUACUCAGGUGAGUCUUGCAUGCCCAGAACCACGCUGAUUCAAUUCAGCAGGGCAUUCCCAUCCAAGUUGGCCGCUAUUUAAUCACUGCAAUGCUUUUGAGAUGCGUCUAAAUUAUUGUAUUUGCUAGUAAUUGUUCCUUUUUAAUUUUGAGGAAUCUAUUCUAUGGAUAUACUACAGUGUGUUUAUCCAUUCUCCAGUUCACAAUCAUGACAGCUUUUUCUAAGUUUCAGUUUCCUAUAAACAACCUACAAAUCUUUAUGUGAAAUUUUAUUUCCAUUGUUUUGAAGUAUGUAUCUAGGAAUGAGAAAUUAGAGUUGUAUCAUCACUAUAUGCACAAAUUUACAUUAAAUUAACCAAUUUUUUCUGAAGAGGCUGCACAUUUUGCAUCCACAUCAACAAUGUGUGAAAACUGCAGCUUCUCUGUAUAUUUAUCAGUAUUUCUCUUUGCCAUUUUUCU